AGAAAAUCCAGAUUUUGGUGUGCGAUGUUGUGGCUAUAUCCAGGUGUAUAUGAGAUAAAAUUUGUUGUUGAUGGAAACUGGACAACAAAUCCUCAACGGGAAUCAGUGCGAAGGGGUCACAUAUGUAACAACAUUUUAAGAGUAGAUAGAUGAUGCAUUCUGGUUCAGGUCAUAACUGCCAGAUGUAUAUAACAAGGAUACAUAUCAAUUCAAGAUAAUGGUUUGCUGUGAACUUCUGAAUUAUCAAUUUUGACAGCAAUAUGAACAAGAGAGGACACAAGCACACAAGAAAUA